AUUAACAUAAGCUGCAUUAUAAUUAAGGCAUUUCCGUUCCUUCCUCUCUCAAUCUCUCAUUUGCGUUCUUACCUCUCUCUUCUAAAGCUUCUCAGCUGUAGCGCCGUCGCCACUCCGAUCAUUGCAACCUCCCUCCUCUCCACGGCGCGACGGCAACGACUCAGCUAUUUUCAUCUUGGGCUUAAUAGAUUAAGGUAUCUUCUUCACAAGCGGUUAGAUCUUCUCUUAUCUUCACCCUGGCUGCCCUCAUCGCCAUCUCUGGUAUCUUCAAGCCGUAUUUUUAUUUUUUUGCUUUCCAGAUGGUUUCUCUUUUCUAUCUGAUUCAUCUGCAAGUUAAGCAUGCUCACAGUAAGUCAUAAAUUCAAAAUUAAAGUGAAGCUUUUGGAUUUAUUUCAAUUCAAAUGAUUUUGGAACUGCCACAUUGUGCUGCCACCAUGGUCCUUCAGAGCCAAGUCCAUCUCUUCUUCCCUAAUUUUGAAACUGCUUGGAGGCUGAAAAAGGAAUCCCAUUAAUUUCUCCUUUUCAUAGUUACUCUUUCAUUCAGUUACAUCUUCAAAUUAGGUGAUUUAUUUAUAUGCUUUCAAGAUAGAAAUUAAUAUCAACAAUUUAUUCCUGUUGCGUGAAUUAAGAUCAGCCAAGAUAUGCUGACCUGCAAUUCAAUUUGAAUUUGAAUAAUAAAUGUCUCUCUAAUUAUAUUUUGUUUGUUUGCACAGGUACCUGAAUUCAUGCCCCUAGCCAUUAACAUGCUAUUUCAGUUCAAGGCAUGUAUGAAAAAAUGUUGAGUUUCUUUGAAAAUAUAUGAGUUAUGGGAUUUGGCCUUAACAGAUGACAAAGAUUUUGCCUCACCUUUUUCCCUUUAGUGGCUGCACCUGCAGCAGAUAAUUUGACAUGUUACAGGCUGAUAUUCCAUGGUGGCAAAAUAUGAUGAUGAUACCUCAUUUGUAGCAGCCAAAGGUUGUGAUAUUCCAUGGUCUGUUUACAACGUGGGGUAAAAUAUAUAAAGAGCUGUCCAUCGUCCUCUUUGUAAUAUUCAUAUAUAUAAAACACUUUAUGUUCCAAUUUUUAAAACUUAGAAGCAUGUCUAUGAUGAGACUUUUGCUCUCUGAUUUUUUUUUCUCUUUUGUUUUAUCUUAGCAUUUUUUGUAAGAACAAGUUUCAUAAAGUAAUUGGUUGCUGGUAGUCCUGAAGAACGUCACCUAUUGGUCAAUGAAAUGCUUGGCACCUCUGAUGAGAAUGAGCCCUUUUACAGGUACCCUUUCAACUCUUAUUGUUCGGGAUUUCAGUUUUACUGAGGUUGGAGAUUGUCUGCUACUCAAACACAUAUAUCAAAUCACUUUUUUGUUUGUUUGGUGGUCUCCCUUCAUGAAAUUCAUGAGCUAAAUAUGGACACGAAAAUUUCAUUCAAGGCAAAAGCUAGAACCAAAAUGCUAUUGGAAGAUGCUAUCAUAUAAUUGUGUAUUCCUUUUUCUAUAGGUGUGCCUCUAUGUUUAAGUCCCACGGGUUGUCCUCGAGUGAUGAUUUCUUUUCUAGCCUAUAAGCAACAAAAUUUGUGUUUAAGAAAGCUCAACUCUUCAACCCAACAUUUCCUGCCAGCAAAGAGAGGAUGUUUGGUAUCCGCCAAAGAACAAUCGUAAUAGAGAUAUUAGAGCAAGCUGAUAGAAGAGUCUUUUAUUGGGGAGGCGUCUCUUUCUCUUGCGAUGACAUGAGGAUGAAUUUUGUAUGAAAUUGUUGUACAUAUAAAAUGGAGGAUGACUUUCAUUUUUCAUUCAAUAUAGAAAUCAUAUUUAAUUAUUUAUUA